AAAUUAUACGAAGGGAUCCAACACAGAAAAUUUAUUUUAUUGAAUUUUACAUUUAUGUGCAAGUUGGGCAAAGUGUCUUAUUUUUUUAAAGUAUUUCAAAGUAAAAUUACACGUUAAUACGUAGUAUUAAUGGCGAGACUCCUGAGGGAGCAGUGCCAGUCGAAGAC
rnacentral:sRNA from 1 species